UUCGCAAUGCCCGAAAGGGUGACGAAGCGACGCCGCGUGGGUGAGGAAGGCCCUCGGGUUGUAAAGCCCUGUCAGGAGUUAAGAAAUGUAGGUACGCUAAUAUCGUAUCUAUUUGACAAAGGCUCCAAAGGAAGCCACGGCUAACUCUGUGCCAGCAGCCGCGGCAAUACAGAGGUGGCAAGCGUUGCUCGGAAUUAUUGGGCGUAAAGAGCACGUAGGUGGAUUUGUAAGUCAGAUGUGAAAGCCUUCUGUUCAACGGGAGAAUUGCGUCUGAAACUACAAACCUUGAGUAUAGGAGGGGAGAAUGGAACUUCUGGUGGAGCGGUGAAAUGCGUAGAUAUCAGAAGGAACGCCGGCGGCGAAAGCGAUUCUCUGGCCUAUUACUGACACUCAGUGUGCGAAAGCUAGGGGAGCAAACGGGAUUAGAUACCCCGGUAGUCCUAGCCGUAAACGAUGGGCACUAAGUAGAGGGGUUUU
rnacentral:rRNA from 1 species